rnacentral:lncRNA from 1 species
CUGUAUCAACUGAUGCCGUAGCUUCAUCUAGCACUAAUAUCUUGCUUUUCUUAAGUAAAACUCGGCCGAGGCAAACCAACUGUCUUUGACCCAUGCUCCAGUUUUCUCCAUUCUCAGUAACUGCAGAUCUCAUCAUGGAUGAUGCUAAGUGAUACAUUGCAUAAAGUUUGCUUCUAACACUUACUAUAAACUUCCUUUGUUCCAUAUUAAUUUUUUUUUCCACAAGGAUUAAUAUAAGUAAUAAAUAGGUUAAUGCGUAAAAUAGUUUUACUAAUUUAUCCUUAUUAGUCAUUAGAAUAUAACCAUUUUGAGAAGUCGAACCUGUUGAGUCGAGCUUUUCUUCUUUCUUCC